GCGUAUACAAUCUACCUUAUACUGGGGAAUAGGCCAAAGAAAUUUGGAUUAAUGCCCCAUAGUAUUUUUCUAACACAUGUUAGAAUUCUUAAAGCUCCGGCGGUAUAAGAUGAGUAUGCGUGAUAUUAGCUAGUUGGUGAGGUAACUGCUCACCAAGGCAACGAUAUCUAGGGGGUCUGAGAGGACUAUCCCCCACACUGGUACUGAGACACGGACCAGACUCCUACGGGAGGCAGCAGUGAGGAAUAUUGGGCAAUGGAGGCAACUCUGACCCAGCCAUGCCGCGUGAAGGAAGAAGGU
rnacentral:rRNA from 1 species